rnacentral:rRNA from 1 species
UACGUAUGGAGCAAGCGUUAUCCGGAUUUACUGGGCGUAAAGGGAGCGCAGGCGGUCUGGCAAGUCUGAUGUGAAAGGCCGGGGCUCAACCCCGGGACUGCAUUGGAAACUGUGAAGCUGGAGUGCAGGAGAGGUAAGCGGAAUUCCUGGUGUAGCGGUGAAAUGCGUAGAUAUCAGGAGGAACACCGGCGGCGAAGGCGGCUUACUGGACUGUAACUGACGUUGAGGCUCGAAGGCGUGGGGAGCAAACAGG